CAGUCGCCGCGGGAACACGGAGGAUCCAAGCGUUAUCCGGAAUCAUUGGGUUUAAAGGGUCCGUAGGCGGUCUUGUAAGUCAGUGGUGAAAGCCCAUCGCUCAACGGUGGAACGGCCAUUGAUACUGCAGGACUUGAAUUAUUGGGAAGUAACUAGAAUAUGUAGUGUAGCGGUGAAAUGCUUAGAGAUUACAUGGAAUACCAAUUGCGAAGGCAGGUUACUACCAAUUGAUUGACGCUGAUGGACGAAAGCGUGGGUAGCGAACAGGAUUAGAUACCCCCGUAGUCCCUGUCUCUUAUAA
rnacentral:rRNA from 1 species